CACGUAGGGUGCGAGCGUUGUCCGGAAUUAUUGGGCGUAAAGAGCUCGUAGGCGGUGUGUCGCGUCGGCCGUGAAAACCUGUGGCUUAACUAUGGGCUUGCGGUCGAUACGGGCAUCACUGGAGUUCGGCAGGGGAGACUGGAAUUCCUGGUGUAGCGGUGAAAUGCGCAGAUAUCAGGAGGAACACCGGUGGCGAAGGCGGGAUCCUGGGCCAGUACUGACGCUGAGGAGCGAAAGCGUGGGGAGCAAACAGG
rnacentral:rRNA from 1 species